UACGGGGGGGGGCGAGCGUUGUUCGGAAUUACUGGGCGUAAAGGGCGCGUAGGCGGUUCGCUAAGUUGGAUGUGAAAACUCUGGGCUCAACCCAGAGCCUGCAUCCAAAACUGGCGGGCUAGAGUUCUGGAGGGGGUAGCGGAAUUCCUGGUGUAGCGGUGAAAUGCGUAGAGUAUCAGUGGACGAAGACCGGUGGCGAAGGCGGGCUACCUGGACA
rnacentral:rRNA from 1 species